GCCGGCAUGGUGUAGUGGUUUGAGCAUUGGACUAUGACUCUGGAGACCAGGGUUCGAAUCCCAGCUCAGCCA